UACGUAGGGUGCGAGCGUUGUCCGGAAUUAUUGGGCGUAAAGAGCUUGUAGGCGGUUUGUCGCGUCUGCCGUGAAAAUCCGGGGCUCAACCCCGGACUUGCGGUGGGUACGGGCAGACUAGAGUGUGGUAGGGGAGACUGGAAUUCCUGGUGUAGCGGUGAAAUGCGCAGAUAUCUGGAGGAACACCGGUGGCGAAGGCGACAUCCUGGACCGGCAUUGACGCUGAGGCGCGAAAGCCAGGGGAGCAAACGGG
rnacentral:rRNA from 1 species